rnacentral:rRNA from 1 species
UACGUAGGGGGCUAGCGUUGUCCGGAAUCAUUGGGCGUAAAGCGCGUGUAGGCGGUCCGGUAAGUCCGCUGUGAAAGUCGGGGGCUCAACCCUCGAAUGCCGGUGGAUACUGUCGGGCUAGAGUGCGGAAGAGGCGAGUGGAAUUCCUGGUGUAGCGGUGAAAUGCGCAGAUAUCAGGAGGAACACCAAUUGCGAAGGCAGCUCGCUGGGACGGUACUGACGCUAAGGCGCGAAAGCGUGGGGAGCGAACAGG